AACACCAGAUCUGACAGGGAAAGCAAAAAUUCAGAUAUUUAUGCAGAGAUACCAGAAGAUACACCAGUUCCAACAUGUAAAUUCAGCAUCUUACGAAACGACGUUGUCCUCGGCCGGAUUCUGGGUGAAGGUUUCUUUGGUGAGGUGCAUGAUGGGAUCUAUAAA